ensembl:lncRNA
ACUUAUUAUUAUUAAAUAAUUAUUUAAUUAAUGGUUUAAAAGUUAUUUUUAUUUUUUAAUUUAUCUUUGAGUGUGCCGCGUCUCCGUGGCUGUGCCCCAGCCUCCGCUCGUUGCAGCAGGUGGGGCUCCUCACGCGCUGCCAUUCUCCGGCUUCUCGCUGUGCCAACGUCUCCUGCUGCAGUCGUCGCGGCUUGCGGGCUCAGUGGUUGUGGCACAUGGGCUUAGCUGCCCUGUGGCGUCUGGAACUUUCCCAGACCAGGGGUCCGACCCAGUCACCUGCCUUAGUAGGCAGUUUCUUAACCCCUGAACCCCAAGGGCAGCCCCCCGGGGUCGCUUUCUCUCCACGGCCAGCUCUGAGGAAGCAGGCAGCCAAGCUGGGGACCUCCAGGUAGCAGGGAACUGGGGGAGCCUUUAGGUGUUGAGGGCGGCCUAGCCAACAGCCUGCAUAGACCACCAGCUAACACCCAGCGGAACAAGGGGCCCUUGGUCCUACGGCUGCAAGGAAUUGGAUUCUGUCAACAACAGAGGAAGCUUGAGCGUGAAUCCUUCUCCAGCCAAGCCUCAGUUGAGAUCGAAACCGAGCCGACACCUUGUCUGCGGCCUUGUGAGACCUGGAAGCAUAGGAGCCUGUCAAGCCACAGCCAGUUUCUUGUGCUGUUUCAAACCUCUGAGGCUGUGCAGUGGGUCCUGCAGCGAGAGGAGCAGACGUUGGCCAUCAAAGCUGGAAGCCCCGGCCGUGCCUGUUUGGUUCCUCUGUGUGCUAGACUCAUGUCUCGGGUGACGAUCGUGGUCCCGCCGCAGCCUGUCUCACUGAGCUUAGCCUUGAGGAGGGGUAAAGCCCCACAGAACUCCAGUAAGUUUCUUCCAAUGGAAUUCUGCAGCAAAGUUUUCAAAUGAUGUGUGUGUGUGCGCUAAGUCGCUUCAGUGGUGUCUGACUCUGCAGCCCCAUGGACUGUAGCUCGCCAGGCUCCUCUGUCCAUGGGAUUCUGCAGGCAAGAAUACUGGAGUGGGUUGCCAUGACCUCCUCCGGGGAUCUUCCUGACCCAGGGAUCAAACCCUGGUCUCCUGUCUUUCCUCAUUUGGCAGGCGGGUUCUUUACCACUAACUCCACCUGGGAAGCCCCUUCAAAUAAAAGACUGUU